AAUCCUAAGUCUUUCGCUCCUAUCUGACG
rnacentral:piRNA from 1 species